rnacentral:rRNA from 1 species
UAAUACGUAGGUGGCAAGCGUUGUCCGGAUUUAUUGGGUUUAAAGGGUGCGUAGGCGGCCUAUUAAGUCAGUGGUGAAAUAUCUCAGCUUAACUGAGAGUGUGCCAAUGAUACUGAUGGGCUUGAGUACAGAUGAGGUAGGCGGAAUUGACGGUGUAGCGGUGAAAUGCUUAGAUAUCGUCAAGAACACCUAUAGCGAAGGCAGCUUACUAGGCUGUAACUGACGCUGAGGCACGAAAGUGUGGGGAUCAAACAGGAUUAGAUACCCUGGUAGUCCACACUGUAAACGUUGAUUACUCGCUGUGUGCGAUAUACAGUACGCGGCCAAGCGAAAGCGCUAAGUAAUCCACCUGGGGAGUACGCCGGCAACGGUG